UCAAGAGCGCUGCGGGUAGGUCCACGGCAGAGGUUUCAGCACACGCCUUCAUCCAGCGCAGACAUGGACCGAGCGCCUUCUCCCGCCUAGAAGCUGAGGAUCCGGAGGUCAACACGAGGUGCGGUCCCGCCCUCUCAGGUCUUCACGACUCCCGGGUGACCCUGGACUCUGGCCACGGUGACACAGGGAGCAGCCUUUGGUGGUUUUCUGGAACCCUGGACAAUUCCCCGGAGACCUCAUCCUUCCCAACUCCUGGGCUGGAGCCCCCCGGGGAUAAAGGCCCCUCCUGGUUGGUGCUCAGCCGAGGACAGGACCUGGCUCUGGAGGACAGCGCGAGGGCUGUGAGGGAGGCUGGCAGCCCACAGUCCCCUCCGCUUCUGUCCGGACCUGCCUGCUGGGCUCUACGGUCCAGGCCUGGAGGCCCUUCCUGACCCCGUGAGGACGUGAUUUCUCCUUGAAUCCCUGCCAGCGACCGGGCAGAGCUGGGCCUGGGCCAAGGCCCUACUGACCACACCCUCGCCAAGGCUGGGUCUCCAAAGACCCUACAGGACAGGAGUCGGGGAGGAGCUCCCAGUGGGAUGGAGGGCAGAUGCCGCCCCUGGGGCGCCACUGGCUGGAGGCUGUCUUGCGCCGUUUGCUGUGUGAGUGAUUCUCGUUUUUGUGGGA